ensembl:lncRNA
AGCGGCCAAACCGUUGAGGCUAGAAACACAAUUCACCCACAGGAAUGCUUGGGAGGUCCUCCUUAUUUACUCAGACCAUUUGACAUGAACCCUUAACAGUGAAUCAAUUCCUAAAUGUGCCUUACUUCUCUCCCCUUAGGAAGGUUACCCUAGCAAACUACCAUCAAUGACAACUAAUCAGUAAAAGGAUUACAUGUGUUGAUUUUCAGGUUCCUGGAAGUGGUUAAAUUGACCCUAAAACAUGUUUUGAAAUCACUGCCUACAGUUAGAGCAAAACACUGUAUUCAUCCCUCUGUAAAUCAAUCACUUUUUAACAUAAAGGCUUGAAACUCAGGAUUAUGUAAAAAGGUGUCCCAGUGAGGAAAUGUGUUUAAUUACAGCUUCCUGUGACAACCGGAAGUAUCUUACAUUGGGGUCAUAGGUGCUGUUUUGAGGGGUUAAAAAGGUCACAUCUUUCCAAAAUGUCAUAUGUGUGAUUAGGCAACCCUCAUAAACCGGUACAUACAAGAAAACCAGGUUUUAAAGUUGUAUUCAACAGCCGUCCCAUCAUUUCAAAACAGUUGAAAGGUUGAGUCAUCUCCUGAGUUGAAGUUAACAGCCUAUCAACAUUCAGUUGUCAUAGAGGGUGGGUGCCCCCUGGUGGCUGAACCCGAGAUCAAUGAGAGAGCUUGUCAGUCACACUUCUCUGUCAUUCCACAAAGUAGAGAGGGGGAAAAAAUUUGUGAAAAUUAAUCAAAUGAAUAUACAUCAAAACAUGAAAGGAUCAGACUUAUUAUCUUGAAAUGUUGAAAAUGUUGUGUAAAAUAAGCAUUCUAUCAUUUAAUAAGCUAGCUAGGACGGAUGUGGUCAAUUUAACUGUUUGUUUAGCACUUUGAAAUGUACAGCGACAGAAUUCAGAACAUGGGUCAUUCUUACAGUAUUUUCCUUGAUCACCAAGUCAGAACUGUAGGAUAAAAAAAGGUGGCAUAUCAGCAGACAAUGAAAGCUCUAACAAUAUUCAGUGAUGACAUUUCUCUAAAUUAGCCUAUAGAUUUCAUGUGCACCAACAAGUCAGAACAGUAGGCUAAGUUAUGAGGGGUCUGGCAUUCUCUGCAUUUAUGGUGCUUUCAAGCCAACUGGGAAGUCGGAAAAAAACAAGGUCAUAUCAUGACAUCAGUGAUCUUCAGGAAAGAGCUCUAGAAAGAGGCCUGUGUCCCCGACUUGGAAUUCAGAGUUGGAUGACCAAUCAAACCAAUUUUUUAUCCAGUCGGAGUUCGCUUUUUUCAGACUUCCCAGUUGUGUUGAACUCACUGAAGUUGGAUGUCUGAGAUUUCCCAGUUUCCAGUUGUUUUGAAUGCUGCAUUAAUGCUCAGAGGGAGACGGCAGGGUAUUUAUUCCCUUUGAGUCAGAAACCAAAACUCCUCGAGUUUCCAGUUGUUUUGGAGGUGAUUAGUCAUCAUUCGCGUGGGACUCUUACUGAUGUUGUUUUCUGUUAACAACAGCAUCACAGGCAUGACUAGAACACAAGGUAACGACAGCAUCACCACCACAGACAUGACUAGAACACAAGGUAACGACAGCAUCACCACCACAGACAUGACUAGAACACAAGGUAACAACAAGAUCACCACCACAGACAUGACUAGAACACAAGGUAACAACAGCAUCACCAUCACAGACAUGACUAGAACACAAGGUAACAACAGCAUCACCACCACAGACAUGACUAGAACACAAGGUAACAACAAGAUCACCACCACAGACAUGACUAGAACACAAGGUAACAACAGCAUCACCAUCACAGACAUGACUAGAACACAAGGUAACAACAGCAUCACCACCACAGACAUGACUAGAACACAAGGUAACAACAAGAUCACCACCACAGACAUGACUAGAACACAAGGUAAC